AUACGUAGGGGGCGAGCGUUGUCCGGAAUGAUUGGGCGUAAAGGGCGCGUAGGCGGCGCGGUAAGUCUGGAGUGACAGUCCUGCUUUCAAGGUGGGAAUUGCUUUGGAUACUGCCGCGCUUGAGUGCAGGAGAGGUUAUCGGAAUUCCCGGUGUAGCGGUGAAAUGCGUAGAGAUCGGGAGGAACACCAGUGGCGAAGGCGGGUAACUGGACUGCAACUGACGCUGAGGCGCGAAAGUGUGGGGAGCAAACAGGAUUAGAUACCCUGGUAGUCCACACUGUAAACGAUGAAUGCUAGGUGUAAGAGGUAUCGACCCCUUUUGUGCCGGAGUCAACACAAUAAGCAUUCCGCCUGGGGAGUACGGCCGCAAGGUUGAAACUCAAAUGAAUUGACGGGG
rnacentral:rRNA from 1 species